rnacentral:misc_RNA from 1 species
GAUGAAGAACGUAGCGAAAUGCGAUAUGUAAUGUGAAUUGCAGAAUUCAGUGAAUCAUCGAAUCUUUGAACGCACAUUGCGCCCCCUGGUAUUCCGGGGGGCAUGCCUGUUCGAGCGUCAUUUCACCACUCAAGCCUCGCUUGGUAUUGGGCAACGCGGUCCGCCGCGUGCCUCAAAUCGACCGGCUGGGUCUUCUGUCCCCUAAGCGUUGUGGAAACUAUUCGCUAAAGGGUGUUCGGGAGGCUACGCCGUAAAACAACCCCAUUUCUAAGGUUGACCUCGGAUCAGGUAGGGAUACCCGCUGAACUUAAGCAUAUCAAUAAGCGGAGGA